rnacentral:rRNA from 1 species
UACGUAGGGUGCAGGCGUUAAUCGGAAUUACUGGGCGUAAAGCGUGCGCAGGCGGUUUGCUAAGACCGGUGUGAAAUCCCCGGGCUUAACCUGGGAACUGCGCUUGUUACUGGCAGGCUUGAGUGUGGCAGAGGGGGGUGGAAUUCCACGUGUAGCAGUGAAAUGCGUAGAGAUGUGGAGGAACACCGAUGGCGAAGGCAGCCCCCUGGGCUAACACUGACGCUCAUGCACGAAAGCGUGGGGAGCAAACAGG